rfam:Drosophila simulans chromosome 2R, whole genome shotgun sequence.
UAUUAUGAUGUGAUGAACACCUUAUUUAAGCCAAACAGUUAUCCCUGUCAUAAGAAUAAUUGAUGAUAUAUUCAGCUGACAAAAUA